AUAAAUUUUAAUAGAUUCUUGGAAGCAAAAAUCACAAGACUUCAUUUAGCUUAUGGAAUAAAAUAAAAUUGAAGAGGAAAAAAAAAGGGCAUCUUCCAAAGACUAGAAAACAAACAGAAACAUUAUAGAGAAAAGAGAAAGCAGGGCAAAAACUUGUUGGACUAUUCCUCUUCUCCUCUUCUUACCUAGUCUUCAUCUUUCCUUUUUAAUGUGAUGAGAAAGUAAAAAAUUAAUCAAACAACAAAAUAAAAAAAAUACCAUUUUUUUCACUUAAAACAUAAUAUUAUUCUUCUCUUCUUAUCUCUGAUUAUCAGUGCUUGAAUUUGGCCUCCUCACAAAUCUCCCCUUCAUUCUAGGCCGUUGAUCAGCAUUGACUUUUCUAACUUGAUACCUGAUCUUCUUAGAGAAAAGACGUGUAAGUCGUUUUUCCUUGUAUCGCAAUACACUAGCUUCUCUUAUUCCAUUUUCUGAAAAUAUAUCUAUUUCUGCCAAUUUAGCAGAGAAAUCAUUUCCUUCGGAUCCCCAAAGAUCGUCCGAAAACGGAGACCCACGGUCUGACCAAGCGUCCAAAACGCCGUCGUAGUUUAGUUUCAAUAACAAACCGGAAUUCGGUUGCGGAAUUGAAUUCUUCUUCGCCAACUCUGAAUUCUUCAACUCCACAGCUGGUUUCUCCUUCUUCUUCUUCUUCUU
rnacentral:misc_RNA from 1 species